rnacentral:rRNA from 1 species
UACGUAGGGCGCAAGCGUUAUCCGGAAUUAUUGGGCGUAAAGAGCUCGUAGGCGGUUUGUCGCGUCUGCCGUGAAAGUCCGGGGCUCAACUCCGGAUCUGCGGUGGGUACGGGCAGACUAGAGUGAUGUAGGGGAGACUGGAAUUCCUGGUGUAGCGGUGAAAUGCGCAGAUAUCAGGAGGAACACCGAUGGCGAAGGCAGGUCUCUGGGCAUUAACUGACGCUGAGGAGCGAAAGCAUGGGGAGCGAACAG